GGUGUCCCUUCUUCUUGUCCUCUAUGACCUUGGGUUGCAAGGAGCCAACCCGGGGAGGACUCGAGGCUCAGUGGCGUUCCUUACGGCCGUCCGGGAUCCCCUCUCCUUCUUCUUUUAAUCCAUCUGGAGAUGAGAUCCACAUCUAAUUUUAUAGAAAUCACGGUUCGAGCUGCUCUGGAAAGGUCUCAACUCAGCUGCGCUUCUUCCUUGCUCAGGCGUUUGUUGAUUUCUCUGAAUAUUGGUUGGACAUUGCCCAUGUAGCACUCACCCAAGUGUGUACUAUGCUAAUAUCUACCACGGAAUAAC